CCAAUAGCGUAUAUUAAAGUUGUUGCAGUUAAAAAGCUCGUAGUUGAAUUUCGGGACCAAUAUGUCGGUCGUGCUUCGGUACGUACUUGCAUUAUUUGUUUCUCCCUUCUGAAGAACCAUGAUGUCAUUAAUUUGGUGUCGUGGGAAAUCAGGACUGUUACUUUGAAAAAAUUAGAGUGUUUAAAGCAGGCUCGCGCUUGAAUACAUUAGCAUGGAAUAAUGAAAUAGGACGUUUGAUUCUAUUUUGUUGGUUUCUAGGAUCGGCGUAAUGAUUAAUAGGGAUAGUUGGGGGCAUUAGUAUUCAAUUGUCAGAGGUGAAAUUCUUGGAUUUAUUGAAGACUAACUACUGCGAAAGCAUUUGCCAAGGAUGUUUUCAUUAAUCAAGAACGAAAGUUAGGGGAUCGAAGACGAUCAGAUACCGUCGUAGUCUUAACCAUAAACUAUGCCGACUAGGGAUCGGAUGAUGUUAAUUUUUUAAUGACUCAUUCGGCGCCUUACG
rnacentral:rRNA from 1 species